CUCUCUACUGCAUCAUUAGAUAUAUCUCUUACUGAUUUGUUGAUGGGACUGAGACAAGCUGCAACCGCCUGUUGAUCCAACCAAGGUUCAAAGGAUUCCUUUCCCCGCUGUUGUGACUUCCCAUCAGCAAUGGCAUCAGCUGGAGUGCAGUACUGUCACUAUCCUGUAAUAUCCCCUGGGGUUGUUUCCUGGCCAGUUCCAGCUGCAGCAAAGAUGAUGUAAAAUCAAACUGGGAUUCAGUUAGCUCCUGCAGAGGAAAAAGCCCAAGCUAUGAGUUAUGAGCUUGUGUCUGCAAAGUCACUGCCCAUUAUUCAAUAAAUUUCGAGUGCAUUGUCAGUC